UACGUAGGGGGGCAAGCGUUGUCCGGAAUUAUUGGGCGUAAAGCGCGCGCAGGCGGCUCUUUAAGUCUGGUGUUUAAUCCCGAGGCUCAACUUCGGGUCGCACUGGAAACUGGAGGGCUUGAGUGCAGAAGAGGAGAGUGGAAUUCCACGUGUAGCGGUGAAAUGCGUAGAGAUGUGGAGGAACACCAGUGGCGAAGGCGACUCUCUGGGCUGUAACUGACGCUGAGGCGGCGAAAGGCGUGGGGAGCAAACAGG
rnacentral:rRNA from 1 species